GGGGUUGUGGCUCAGAGGUAGAGCGCUUGCCUAGCACAAAUGAGGCACUAGAUUCGAUCCUCAACACCA
rnacentral:tRNA from 1 species